rnacentral:rRNA from 1 species
GACGAACGCUGGCGGCGUGCUUAACACAUGCAAGUCGAACGGAAAGGCCCUGCUUUUGUGGGUUGCUCGAGUGGCGAACGGGUGAGUAACACGUGAGUAACCUGCCCUUGACUUUGGGAUAACUUCAGGAAACUGGGGCUAAUACCGGAUAGGAGCUCCUGCUGCAUGGUGGGGGUUGGAAAGUUUCGGCGGUUGGGGAUGGACUCGCGGCUUAUCAGCUUGUUGGUGGGGUAGUGGCUUACCAAGGCUUUGACGGGUAGCCGGCCUGAGAGGGUGACCGGCCACAUUGGGACUGAGAUACGGCCCAGACCCCUACGGGAGGCAGCAGUGGGGAAUAUUGCACAAUGGGCGGAAGCCUGAUGCAGCAACGCCGCGUGCGGGAUGACGGCCUUCGGGUUGUAAACCGCUUUCGCCUGUGACGAAGCGUGAGUGACGGUAAUGGGUAAAGAAGCACCGGCUAACUACGUG